rnacentral:rRNA from 1 species
UAACGUUGGCCCGUUAUCCGGGUUGCGGACAGUGUCUGGUGGGUAGUUUGACUGGGGCGGUCUCCUCCUAAAGAGUAACGGAGGAGCACGAAGGUUGGCUAAUCCUGGUCGGACAUCAGGAGGUUAGUGCAAUGGCAUAAGCCAGCUUGACUGCGAGCGUGACGGCGCGAGCAGGUGCGAAAGCAGGUCAUAGUGAUCCGGUGGUUCUGAAUGGAAGGGCCAUCGCUCAACGGAUAAAAGGUACUCCGGGGAUAACAGGCUGAUACCGCCCAAGAGUUCAUAUCGACGGCGGUGUUUGGCACCUCGAUGUCGGCUCAUCACAUCCUGGGGCUGAAGUAGGUCCCAAGGGUAUGGCUGUUCGCCAUUUAAAGUGGUACGCGAGCUGGGUUUAGAACGUCGUGAGACAGUUCGGUCCCUAUCUGCCGUGGGCGCUGGAGAACUGAGGGGGGCUGCUCCUAGUACGAGAGGACCGGAGUGGACGCAUCACUGGUGUUCGGGUUGUCAUGCCAAUGGCACUGCCCGGUAGCUAAAUGCGGAAGAGAUAAGUGCUGAAAGCAUCUAAGCACGAAACUUGCCCCG